rnacentral:rRNA from 1 species
GAAUUUUAUAUAAAUUAUUUAAUAAAAUUAAGUGAUUAUAUUUUAUUGGGAGGAUAAUUAAAUUAAUUGAACUUUAAUUUUGAAAAACUAAAAUAAUAGAAUUUUUUAAUUAAUUAAUAAUUUAAAGUUAAUAUAGAAUUAAUUACCUUAGGGAUAACAGCAUAAUAUUUUUUUUUAGAUCAUAUAUAAAAAGAUGUUUAU